rnacentral:rRNA from 1 species
GACGAACGCUGGCGGCGUGCUUAACACAUGCAAGUCGAACGGAAAGGCCCUGCUUUUGUGGGGUGCUCGAGUGGCGAACGGGUGAGUAACACGUGAGUAACCUGCCCUUGACUUUGGGAUAACUUCAGGAAACUGGGGCUAAUACCGGAUAGGAGCUCCUGCUGCAUGGUGGGGGUUGGAAAGUUUCGGCGGUUGGGGAUGGACUCGCGGGUUAUCAGCUUGUUGGUGGGGUAGUGGCUUACCAAGGCUUUGACGGGUAGCCAGCCUGGGAGUGUGACCGGCGACAAUAGGACUAAGAUAGGCCCCAGGCGCGUACCGGAGGCAACAGUGGGAAAUAUUGCACAGCGGCGGCGCGCGAGAUGCAGCAGCGCCGCGUUCGGAAAAACGGCCUACUGGUUAUAAACCGCUUUCGACUGUGACAAAAACGGAUUGACGGUAAUGAAUAAGAAAGCACCGGCUAACUACGUG